rnacentral:rRNA from 1 species
CUUUUAACGAGAGUUUGAUCCUGGCUCAGGAUGAACGCUGGCGGCGUGCUUAACACAUGCAAGUCGAGCGAAGCACUUUACUUGGAUUUCUU